UCCGGAGACGGUAACGUGACCGCGGCGGGGCCAGGUGUGUCCGACCGGGCGGGAGCCCGAGCCCCGGCCUGGCCGCGGGACCGAGACGCGGCCUGUGACCCUCCCGGGCCCUGCCCCGGCCAGUGCUGCUGAGUCCAUGGGCGCAGCCGGAAGGAACCGCUGUGAUCCGCCGCGACAGCCCCCGUGAGCGCGUCCCCGCCCGGGGGGCGGCGGGGCCGGUCGCGCUUUAACACUGGCCGGUGAGGCGUCUCCACCGGGAUCGUGGGAAGCGGUUCCCGACACGCUGCUUCUCUGCAGUCCGAGCGUGCCAGCUUCCAGGCCUCGGCCCUCAUUGCACCUUUGCUUGACUGAACAGCCCCUUAGCAAAAUGUGUGUGCACUGCCUCAGGCCUUACGGGCGGAGUCUUUCACCAGAAGGGCUGUUUUCCAGUUCUUCAAUCGUUCUCGCUGCUCUUCUCCAAACUCUUUCAAUUGUGGGCAUCAGAACUGGACACAGUAUUCUAGUAGGAGUCACACCAGUGCCACAUAUGGAGGGGAUAUAACCUCCCUACUAAAGAUUCCCAUUUAUACAUCCAAGGAUUGCAUUAGCCGUUUUGGCAACUGCAUCGCAUUGGGAGUUCACUUUCACAUGAUUAUCCAUCGUGAUCCCCAGCUGUUAUUCAGAGACACUGCUUCCCGAUGGAGUCCCUCAGUCGGUCAUUAAUAAAAAUGUUUAAUAGCAAAGGACCAAAAACUUGUUCCUUAGAAAUACACCUACUCAAUGAUGAUUCCUCAUUUACCAUUACAUUUUGACACCUAUCAGUUAGCCAGUUUUUAAUCUAACUAAUGUGUGCCAUGUCAACUUUAUGUCAUUCUAGUUUUUUAAUCAAAAUGUCUUGUGGCACCAUGUCAGAUGCCUUCCAGAAGUGGAAGUAUAUUUCAUCAAUGCUAUUAUCCUUAUCAACAAAACUUGUAAUUGUAUUUAAAAAAAUGUUAUCAAGUUAAUUUGACAGGAUCUGUUUUCCAUAAACUACCUACCCCUCUGUAAUUAUUAAUUCAA